rfam:Agrilus planipennis Contig69472, whole genome shotgun sequence.
UCUCUCGUAGCUUAGUGGUCAGAGCAUUGGUGCGUAAAGGCAAAGGUCCCGGGUUCGAUUCCCGACGGGGGUG